CGGAGCAUCUGGUUAAUAAUUGUUUUAACGAUUUAAAGGAUUUUGUCUUUUUUGUGAGAUAUUGUUUCUAGUAUGAGAGAGUUGAAAUAUUGUGUAGAUUCUAUUAGUAUGCUAGUUGAAAUGUAGAGGAGAUAAAAUAAUCAAGAAUGUCUCGAAAGGUUUAUGUAUUUGUGUAUGUAUCAACCGUUUUUAUAAAUACAUGUAUGUCAAAGAAAGAUAAAAAAGUAAUCAUCCCAUCAGAAUAUAGUUUUCUUGCAUCUGCUGCCAUUAAAAGAAAUUCACUUUCUAUUUUCUGUUUAACUGAAGACUUAGAUAUUGUGGAGGAUUUUUAUGCAAAAAAAU
rnacentral:lncRNA from 1 species